rnacentral:rRNA from 1 species
CCGCGUGAGGGAGGAAGGCCUUAGGGUUGUAAACCUCUUUUCUCUGGGAAGAAGAUCUGACGGUACCAGAGGAAUAAGCCUCGGCUAAUUCCGUGCCAGCAGCCGCGGUAAGACGGAGGAGGCAAGCGUUAUCCGGAAUUAUUGGGCGUAAAGCGUCCGCAGGCGGCCUAUUAAGUCUGUUGUUAAAACCCGCAGCUCAACUCCGUAUUGGCAAUGGAAACUGGUGAGCUUGAGUGUGGUAGGGGCAGAGGGAAUUCCCGGUGUAGCGGUGAAAUGCGUAGUUAUCGGGAAGAACACCAGUGGCGAAGGCGCUCUACUGGGCCACAACUGACGCUCAUGGACG